UUGUGUUCAUUUUCUCACGAAACCCAACUUGGAUACAAACAGGUCCGUGCCCCAGGCUUUCUCUUCUGUGUGCUGCGCUCCCAGACCGUCCUGUGUAGUCGGGGGCAGACUCAAGCUUGGCUGCACAUUGGAAUCACCUGUCCCACCCUCAGAGAUUCAUAUUUCAUUGAGACGAGGUCUCACUAUGUUGCCCAUGCUGUCUUGAAUUCCUGGGCUCAAGCCAUCCUCCUGCCUCAGCCUCCCUGAGUGGUAGGAUUACAGGCAUGAGCCACCGGGUCUGGCCAAGCACACAUUAUCAGGGAGAACGGAGGGUCCUAGCAGAGAAAACUUCUGAAUUUUCCGGCCCCUCUGACAACUGGAGUUAAGAGGACUGACUGACACCACAAAGUGACUGCUGGAAAGAGAAACCAGAGGGCAGGUGCAGAGGGAAGGCCUUCGCUGUGGGAACGUCACCAUACCCUCGCAAGUGGGGAGAGAGAUGAGGAACUGGUGGGAGUCCCACAGCAGCUUCCCUUGCAGACCUCUCCCACAUGUGUGCCCGUGUGUGAGAAAUGGAAGAGGGCUUAGCUGGGGGUUCGGCUUAGGGAUGCAGGAAAGGUCGAGCUCUGAGGCUGUGAUGGCACACCAAGGGCUUCUCCGUCCUCAGCAGAGCAGCAAGGGAAGCAGUAAGGCUAGUGUGGGUUGCUGAGAAGACAGGCUCAAGACAUGUUCCUUAAGUGUCGUGUGCCAGACCCCAGUGGCCCUCUGUCAUUCCUAGGCAAGGUCUUGGGAAGACAGAUGAUAAUGAGGGGAACCAGGCCCUGCAGAGACACAUUUUUGCCAAGCCCCUCGGUUAGAGCACAGCUGAGACUUUAAACCCCAAAGGUGGGUCUUUUGUAAUCUGGUCUUGGCUUGCUGGAAAAGGCUAUCAGGGGCCCAGGAAGGGGUUGAGGGAGCCCAGUGCCCACCAGCCUGUGGGAAGCCAGGAACUCCCCAACUGCCACUGGUCAGCCAUUCCACAGGUCAUUCUUGAGCACCAGCUAUGUACCAGGCACAGUGGUAGCAACUGGGGAACAUCAAGAUGAACAAGGGUCUUGCCUCAGGAAGUGAACAUUCUAGUGAGGGAAACAGAUAAACUAAAAAAGUAAAAAUAUUUACAGGUGCCCUGAAGGAAAUAAACAGGGCCUUUUGAGAGACAAUAACAGGUAGUUUUAUUUUGGAAAAUGUAGUCUGAGGAAGUGAAAUCUUUUUUUUUUUUUAGACAGGGAGUCUUGCUCUGUUGCCCAGGCAAGAGAGCAGUGGUGCGAUCAUGGCUCACUGCAGCUUUGAACUCCUGGGCUCAAGCCUCAGCCUUCCAAGUAGCUGGAACUACAGGUGCAUGCCACCACACACCUGUGGUGUCUUAAUUUCGUAACUUUUUUUUUUCCCCCUAAGAGACAGGGUAUCACUAUGUUGUCCAGGCUGGUCUCAAACUUCUGGCCUCAAGCAAUCCUCCUGCCUUGGCCCCAGUCACUGGGAUUAAGGGCUUGAGCCACCCCACCCAGCAGGAAAGUAGUUAAACUGAGAAGAAGCCUGUCAUUUAAAAAGCCAGGACAAGGCAGAGGAAACUGCCUGUGCAAAGGUCCUGGGAUGGGAAAGCUUGGGGAUUUGGGACAAUAAUAGUAACACUGUGGCUAUUGGGGGAGAGGGAGGCAGAUGAGAGUGGAGAAAUGGGAGGGGGUGGGGCAUAUGACACAAGGCCUGUGGACAGAGUGUAGCUGGUUCCAGUUUCUGGUGUGCAAGAAACAGAACUUGAAUUUUCUUUAA